rnacentral:rRNA from 1 species
AAUCAACGCUGGCGGCGUGCCUCAGACAUGCAAGUCGAACGGAGAAAGUCCCCUUCGGGGGAUAAGUAAAGUGGCGCACGGGGUGAGUAACACGUAGGUAAUCUACCUUCGGGUGGGGAAUAACCCAGGGGAAACUUGGGCUAACACCGCAUAAUGCAGCGGCACCACAUGGUGGACAGUUGUUAAAGCGGGGGAGUUUCGUAACCUCGCGCCGUCGAAGAGGAGCCUGCGGCGGAUUAGCUAGNGGUGAGGUAACGGCUCACCAAGGUCACGAUCCGUAGCCGGCCUGAGAGGGCGGUCGGCCACACUGGACACUGACA